rnacentral:rRNA from 1 species
CCUACGGGUGGCUGCAGUGGGGAAUAUUGGGCAAUGGGCGCAAGCCUGACCCAGCAACGCCGCGUGAAGGAAGAAGGCUUUCGGGUUGUAAACUUCUUUUCUCAGGGACUAAGAAAGUGACGGUACCUAAGUAAUAAGCCAAGGCUAACUACGUGCCAGCAGCCGCGGUAAUACGUAGGUUGCAAGCGUUAUCCGGAUUUACUGGGUGUAAAGGUCGUGUAGGCGGGACUGCAAGUCAGAUGUGAAAACCACGGGCUAAACCUGUGGCCUGCAUUUGAAAAUGUAGUUCUUGAGUACUGGAGAGGCAGACGGAAUUCCUAGGGUAGCGGUGAAAUGCGUAGAUAUUAGGAGGAACACCAGUGGCGAAGGCGGUCUGCUGGACAGCAACUGACGCUGAGGCGCGAAAGCGUGGGGAGCAAACAGGAUUAGAUACCCUUGUAGUC